rnacentral:tRNA from 1 species
GGCCCCGUGGUGUGAUCAUGUCAGACUGCAAAUCUGAAGUUGGCAGCUGCCCGGGGCUU